GUUUGAGAUUCACAGCCAAAUUAACAUUUCCACAGCUCUGUUUGCUCCUCACUGGGCUCUGCCCUUCCUCCUGAAGCAGCUGGCUGGCUUUCCCAGCUGUACUCUCUGCCGGCAGACCCAUGCUUCAGAUACCAACUCACCACCCCCCAGCUAAAACAGGCUUCCCUUAGACUUCUAUGACAACAGGAUGGCUGUCAAGACCAAGGUCCCUGGAGGGAGAGGAGGCAGAAAAGAAUAGUCUACCUCUUCUCUGUGGAACAGCCUGCUCAGAGAGAACAUAGGCCUCAUUUGGCCAGAAAACAUCAAGCUGGACUCUGAGCACUGAGGUGGUGGGCUUGAGGUAUUCAUCAGCGCCAACACUGGCAGCCUGGUGAGGAGAAAGGCUUCGAGGUGCCACUUCCGCCCAAACUAGCCACAACAACUAGAGAGUGAAGGCUCUGCCACUCAUCAGCCCCGAGUAAGGCUGCUCAUGGGAGAAUGUGCACACUCCCUCAGCGUCCCCCCGGAUACUGAGACCUGUGGGACACUCGGGCCUAGCCUCUGGACCAGAGAGGUGAGACUUGGUCAAACCACAGGGAAGCUUGGCCUAAAAUUUGGCCUCUUGGACACGCCUUUGGCUGCGUCAGUCUCAGAGUUAAGUGACGGCUGUUCUUGACUGUCUGGGUCGGUAACAAUUUGCAGUGAGGACCUAUUCCACAAACUCGGAGAGACUGGAGAUGGGCUAUUAGCCCCAGCCCCUUUCAUGUGAAAUUACUUCUACUGGCAGUAAUAUGCCAUCAUUUGAAAGCCUUAACCCAAAUGGACGGCGCCCGGCCCAAGCCAGAGCCUGGACCCAGGCAGCGGGUCCAUGUGCUAACUAUUACAGGGUUGUUUGGGCCGUCCCCAGCCGGCAUUUGCUGCUGCACGCUGAGAACUGCUGUCAGGAAAUGUUCUUUUCUAAAUUACAUAAUUAGGGUGUUGGGGAGUGUAGUGAAGGCAGAUUAGGGGCAUCACUUGUUCUCGGUGCAAGCAACGAUUCCAAGCACAUAAGUAAACACUUAAGCUAUGUGAAUGGUUUAAUAUUGAUUAAACAAUGAUCUCCAGGUCUAAACUCUAAGCAUGGUAGGUAGAAGGCGCUGGAAGGAGAAAAAACAAAGAGUGGACUUAAUAGUGUGCAUUGAUUUACAGAGCUGCGUGGACUUUGACCUGACAGAUCAAAAUCAGGAUUUGCAAUGAUUACCUGAAAUAAAGUCCAGGGUCCCACCCCCUUGGGCUCACAGUGGGGCUGGGGUCAGGUGGGGUCAAGUUCUUCUCUCAGCAAAACCAGCUUCUCACCCACACCCACUUCCAGAAACCCGGACCCAAGCAACGUGCUAGCUCAAAUUGCGUUUCAUUUAUUGUUUCUAACUAUGGGCCACAGACUUCAACUUGAUUAGAAAAUUGUGCUGACGCUUCCUGGGAAGUAGAUUCCGAGCCUUCCAGCGGAGAUGAAGGAGGGGAUUUUCCACACACACCCGUCUCUUCCAAAGCGCCUUCCCGACUUUGGCAGUGCCUGUGCCCAAGCAGGAGCUCAGUGUGAGGAGCAACUGUGACCAACAGGCAGGCUUCCCGCUGGGAGGCUUGGAGAACAGACAGCGGUCCCUAGCUUAGUCCUGGGGACCUGCCCUGGUCAGUCCUGGGGUUGUAGGGUAGGCAGCGGGGGCAACGGCUAACCUCUGCUGAAUUCAGAUUUGCCAGCCAGCUCAACCACUUCCUCCUGGCCCAGCCUUUGGGCCUUCUCUCUGUGUCCAUCAGCAGAAGACAGAGUGGAAAAGAGGCUGAGGAGCACAAUAUUAAAAACUAGGGGCCCGCUUCCUCUGUGCCAAAUGUCUUCUACUUGUCACACUAAAGCAUCACGGGCAAUCCUGUAUGGUAGGCAUCGUUCUGUUUUGUCCCUGUGAUUGGAUAACAAAACUAGUUCUCAACAAGAAUAAGUUGCCAGAAUUUGCCACAGCAAAUUUCAUUAAUUUUGCUAAUUUAAAAAAUAAUCAUAUAGCUUUUCACUUAUGCUAGGCAAUAUACUAAAAUUUUGAAGUAUUAGCUGUAAAAUUUAAUGCAUCUUUCAUUAACUGUUGUGAUGAUUUUUUUUUUUUUAUCUUGAAAUGAAUCAUCUGAGUCACGGACGGGCUAAGUCAUGGGCUCCGGGUCACACAGACUGUCACUAAGCCAGGAUUCUAACGUUGGCCCUCUCGCUUCAGAGUCUACACUCCCAAUCCAUCCACAGAGCUGAAGACAGUCCUUAACAAAAGAAGGGCACAGACCCCUCAUGCCAUCUGCUAUGAGCCUCCGUGACAGGGCACACCAGUGUACUGAGGGUACUCUGGGGUGAUGUAUGGUCUCACACCUGGAACCUGAUGUGGCUGCAGCCCAGGGACCUGCCCAGGGACCCACCCCACCAUGGUCUCAUAUUCCAUUCAGGGAGUACUCAGAGCGUAAGUAAGUCUACGAAGGAGCUCAGGAGCCUGUGAACACAGCAGCCACUCUUCCCUAGCACCCCACCCUCACCCCCGCCCUCCUCCAGCUACUUCCCCCUGGAGCCAGACCUGGGUGGUAUGUGCUGGAAAAUCCCUCUUAGCCCUUCCUCCGAACGCCUGCUCAGGCGCCAUGCCCACAUGCCAUCAACGCAUGUGGCAUGUGCCCAUCUCUGCUGACACCCUGGAAACUCACCAAGGCAGGACUCACAAGUGGCGCUGAGUGUGAAAAGUCUGUAAAGAUAAAUGUCUUCUCAUUUGUGGGUUCAAAAUACGUCCAAUAAAAAUGAGUACGUGCCUCCACACACUAAACGCACUGUCGUAAAAAGUUGCUGUGUUUGCUAUGUGUACAAAACCCGCUAGGGCCAUGGUGGACUGAGCCAUCCAGACCAUCAGAGCCCAGCCUAGGACAAAGCCUUCAGACCCUGUACUCAGGGCAGAGCCAGCAGCUGGCCCUGUGACUUUUGAGGACCUCCAUGCUACUCUCCGUGUUCCCCGUGGCUCACAGAUUUCGUAUUUGCAGACUUGCAUGCCCACUGAACAGCAUGCGUAAUCCUCGAAUCCACACUGAUACUGCAUUCCUGAGCAUCUGGAGACAUGAGUGAGGAGAGAAAACCUUGAGAGGUCGGGGAGGGCAACUGAGCACAAACACAGCGAUUGCUAAGUCAGGUGGAAGUAGAUGAAUUGAGUUACAGUCUCAAGAAGGACAGCAGCAUGCAGGGGCUGGACAGACAGUCAGCAGCUGCAAUCGCAUACUGCUCUCACAGAGGACGCUAGCACCCAUAUCAGACAGGUCACAGCCGCCUGGAACUCCAGCUCUGGGGGAUCCAUCACCCUCUUCUGGACUCUGUGGGAACCUACAGGCCUACGUGUAUUUCAUACAAAGAUACACAUAUAUGUUCAUAAUAAAAAAUUUUUUUGAG